rnacentral:lncRNA from 1 species
AUCCCAGUCAUGGUGGACUCUUACCUCUCUUCAACCAUGUGGCCAAAUAACUUCUUUUCAUAACAUGCCUUGGUCAUGGUGCUUUAUCACAACAGAAAAGUAAUACUGAAGUUGAUGCCAGAAGAGGGGCAUUGCUGUGAAGAAAGGGUGUUGUUCUUGAAAGGAUGAAGAUUUUGGAACUUUAGACUACAAAAGUUCUUGAAUGCUGUAAAUAGAGCUUGAUGGGCUAUUCUAAUCAGAACCUGGUUCAAAAUGUUUGAGAGUGACAGGGAAACAAAGACAUAUAUAGCAGCCGGUCUAGAGGCCAUUAUUAUACUUCAGCAAAUAAUCUGGUUACCAUCGGCCAGAGUCCUUAGAACUCCUGUGAAGCUAAAAUGCAAUCAACUAAAUUUUUAGUAAAGAACAUUUCAAGAUACCCUAAUACUGAAUCUGUGGUGUGAUUAUCAGUGGUGACUCAUACAGAUCUCUGAUGAAAAAGAGCCAGCAGCUCAAGAAGACAUGCAAAAUGUACCGUUUGGGGUAGAAAAGAGUAUGUUAUAUUAUUGAAGUCAAGUCUUGUGCAGCAAAAGAAGCUUUAAUUUUUAGUGAGAUUAAGGCAUUAAUGAAAGGUCUUCUACUCUACUCAGCAACAAUGGAGAGGAUGAGUUCAGGAUUACACUCCAUCCAGAUGGUAAAACAAGAGAUUACAUUGAGUCCCAGAAUAAACUUUGGAUGUUCGACUUUUGAACAGAGGUCAGCUUCCUUGCCCCAGGUCCAUUCUGAUUGGCCAUUCUGUCCUCGAGUAUGCCUGGCUGCUGCUGCCGCUGCUGCACAUUCCCUGCACAACAUGCUACCUGCUGUGCCCGGCUUCCAUUCCAAGGUGGCUCUCAGCAGCCCCUCAGUAGUUCUUCCCACGUGGCAGGCCCUGCCUUCGGAGGAAUCAGCCACCUGGGGGACACAUCAAUAAACCAUUUUCUUUAUAUUUUAUAUUUUGAAAACUUCAAUAAAAUUGCAACAUUGGAUAAAUUUUGCCUGUACUAUAAGUAAACAGAAAUUCUUCCCCAAUG